UUGAAUAAUAAGAAGAAAGGAAAGAAACAAAAAUUAAGAAGGAAAGAAGAUGAUGAGCCAGGGGCUAGCAGGAUGAAGUUAAAACGGAAACAAAAAUCAGUUGAUUGUAGAAAAUGUGGUAAACCUGGCCACAACAGUAGAACUUGCAGUUUCUCCUCAGAUGACAUUGAAAUUCAUCCGUCGGACUACCUUUGUAGUUUGGACUCCAUCAUGGUCGAGGAAGCAUCAAGUUGCCAAAAUGUUGAAAAGCUACCUGUUAGAAGAGGUACAUCUCAAGCCAGCCAACAACGUCAGAGCUUUCCAUUUUCUCUAUGAAGUUGCAAUAUUGAAGAAAAUACAUUUUUAGUUUUGAAUCUUUUUUUUGGAUAUUUGAUGUAUCAAACUAAUGAUAUGUGACUAGUUUUUGUUGUUCA